rnacentral:rRNA from 1 species
UGGCGAACGGGUGAGUAACACGUGAGUAACCUGCCCUUGACUUUGGGAUAACUUCAGGAAACUGGGGCUAAUACCGGAUAGGGAGCUCCUGCUGCAUGGUGGGGGUUGGAAAGUUUCGGCGGUUUGGGGAUGGACUCGCGGCUUAUCAGCUAGUUGGUGGGGUAAUGGCUCACCAAGGCAAUGAUCCGUAGCGGGUCUGAGAGGACGAUCCGCCACACUGGGACUGAGACACGGCCCAG